rnacentral:rRNA from 1 species
UACGUCGGGAGCGAGCGUUAAUCGGAAUUACUGGGCGUAAAGCGUACGCAGGCGGCUGCGCAAGACAGAUGUGAAAUCCCCGGGCCUAACCUUGGAACUGCAUUUGUGACUGCGCAGCUCGAGUCCGUCAGAGGGGGGUAGAAUUCCACGUGUAGCAGUGAAAUGCGUAGAGAUGUGGAGGAACACCGAUGGCGAAGGCAGCCUCCUGGGAUGAGACUGACGCUCAGGUACGAAAGCGUGGGGAGCAAACAGG